rnacentral:rRNA from 1 species
UACAGAGGUCCCAAGCGUUGUCCGGAAUUACUGGGCGUAAAGAGCUCGUAGGUGGUUUGUCGCGUUGUUCGUGAAAACUCACAGCUCAACUGUGGGCGUGCGGGCGAUACGGGCAGACUAGAGUUCGGCAGGGGAGACUGGAAUUCCUGGUGUAGCGGUGAAAUGCGCAGAUAUCAGGAGGAACACCGGUGGCGAAGGCGGGUCUCUGGGCCGAUACUGACGCUGAGGAGCGAAAGCGUGGGGAGCGAACAGG